GGUUGUGUGGCGAAUAACAGGGCACUACACCUCAGGACACCGAGGUCGCUCCAGGAAGUCGUCGGCAACGUGAAGGGUCUGCUAGGCUUCCUCAAGGAGCUAGGCUUGCAC